CCAAUAGCGUAUAUUAAAGUUGUUGCAGUUAAAAAGCUCGUAGUUGAAUUUCGGGAUCAGAUUGUCGGUCGUGCCUCGGUACGCACUGGCAUUAUUGGUUCCUACCUUCUGAAGAACCGCGAUGUCAUUAAUUUGGUGUCGUGGGGAAUCAGGACUGUUACUUUGAAAAAAUUAGAGUGUUUAAAGCAGGCGCACGCUUGAAUACAUUAGCAUGGAAUAAUGAAAUAGGACGUUUGAUUCUAUUUUGUUGGUUUCUAGGAUCGACGUAAUGAUUAAUAGGGAUAGUUGGGGGCAUUAGUAUUCAAUUGUCAGAGGUGAAAUUCUUGGAUUUAUUGAAGACUAACGACUGCGAAAGCAUUUGCCAAGGAUGUUUUCAUUAAUCAAGAACGAAAGUUAGGGGAUCGAAGACGAUCAGAUACCGUCGUAGUCUUAACCAUAAACUAUGCCGACUAGGGAUCGGAUGAUGUUAAUUUUUUAAUGACUCAUUCGGCGCCUUACG
rnacentral:rRNA from 1 species